CCAGACUCCUACGGGAGGCAGCAGUGGGGAAUAUUGGGCAAUGGGCGCAAGCCUGACCCAGCAACGCCGCGUGAAGGAAGAAGGCUUUCGGGUUGUAAACUUCUUUUCUGGGGGACGAAGAAAGUGACGGUACCCCAGGAAUAAGCCACGGCUAACUACGUGCCAGCAGCCGCGGUAAUACGUAGGUGGCAAGCGUUAUCCGGAUUUAUUGGGUGUAAAGGGCGUGUAGGCGGGAAUGCAAGUCAGAUGUGAAAACUAUGGGCUCAACCCAUAGCCUGCAUUUGAAACUGUAUUUCUUGAGUGCUGGAGAGGCAAUCGGAAUUCCGUGUGUAGCGGUGAAAUGCGUAGAUAUCAGGAGGAACACCGGCGGCGAAGGCGGCCUGCUGGACCGUGACUGACGUUGAGGCUCGAGAGCGUGGGGAGCAAACAGGAUUAGAUACCCCUGUAAC
rnacentral:rRNA from 1 species